GACGAACGCUGGCGGCGUGCCUAACACAUGCAAGUCGAGCGGGGACGGUGAGUAGCAAUACGAGCUGUUCUAGCGGCGGACGGGUGAGUAACGCGUGAGCAACCUGUCCCAAACAGGGGGAUAACGAACCGAAAGGUUCACUAAUACCGCAUAAGACCACGGCAUCACAUGGUGCAGGGGUCAAAGGAGAAAUCCGGUUUGGGGUGGGCUCGCGUCUGAUUAGCUAGUUGGUGGGGUAACGGCCCACCAAGGCGACGAUCAGUAGCCGACCUGAGAGGGUGAUCGGCCACAUUGGAACUGAGACACGGUCCAAACUCCUACGGGAGGCUG
rnacentral:rRNA from 1 species